rnacentral:misc_RNA from 1 species
GAUGAAGAACGCAGCGAAAUGCGAUAAGUAGUGUGAAUUGCAGAAUUCAGUGAAUCAUCGAAUCUUUGAACGCACAUUGCGCCUCCUGGCAUUCCGGGAGGCAUGCCUGUUCGAGCGUCAUCAAACCCCAUCGUGCAAAUGAAUUAUUUUUUUUGCGCGGAAGUGACGAUUGAGCGAGAAUAACAAAUCCUCUCGCACCUCGUCGAAAUGAUUGCGGGCGGAAUUUGGGAUCGGGUUCCUCGGCGUAGUGUAUCAAUGCAUAUUUAUGCAACUUGCCGCGGAGUUGAGCCUGACCCACGCGUUCUCGCCGUACAAACACCUCAUUACUUUAGAAGUUUUUGACCUCGGAUCAGGUAGGGAUACCCGCUGAACUUAAGCAUAUCAAUAAGCGGAGGA